AUUAAAAAAAGACUGGGGUGCAAAUCAGAAUCAAUCACAUUUUUUUCUUACUCCUUGGGGGCUCAUUUGACUCUUGAGUGGGAAAGAGGCAGAUCCCAGGUGAAGCCUCAGUCUCUUGGCCUAAGGCAGGGAGAAGCAUGAGUCAGAUCAACAUGAUGAUUCAUCUGAGUCUCAACCAUGAAGAAAUUCACGGAUUGUACAGGGUUUUCUGGUGCAGUCAGCUUUCUUGUGUUGUGACUUGGCUGAUUAACUCAUAUUCAAGGCCAGAACUACUGUUGCUGUUGAGACUAAUCCAAUUACAAAGUAUUCUGCUGCGGGGGAGGGAUCUUCCAAUUGGAUCUGAUCUCCUUUGGCAAAAAUCUAUGUUGAGGAAAGCAAGGAGGUUCUGGAGGGAUUAUAGAUUUUGAAAACUCUGGCUCGGGCAGACCCAGCAUGGCUUCCUACAGAUAUAGGAUGGGGGAUCACCACAGAGCAGUGUUAGUCUUGGCAUGGGAUGGCAUGAAAGGAUCGCUGAUAUCCUCAGAAGAUGAAUGGUGGUCACACAGGAGCUUCUUUGGAGGUGCAUUGUGGACUCUUAACACAUGGAUAAAGUCUUAGAGGAAAAUCCAAGGAUUGGACACCCAUUGGGGGUCUCGUAUAUCUCUCCUGAGGGACUGAGACCCUGAAAUAGGGACCGGAAUGGCCAGGGCAG
rnacentral:lncRNA from 1 species